rnacentral:rRNA from 1 species
GAACGGGUGAGUAACACGUGGGAAACCUACCUCUUAGCAGGGGAUAACAUUUGGAAACAGAUGCUAAUACCGUAUAACAAUGACAACCGCAUGGUUGUUAUUUAAAAGAUGGUUCUGCUAUCACUAAGAGAUGGUCCCGCGGUGCAUUAGCUAGUUGGUAAGGUAAUGGCUUACCAAGGCAAUGAUGCAUAGCCGAGUUGAGAGACUGAUCGGCCACAAUGGGACUGAGACACGGCCCAUACUCCUACGGGAGGCAGCAGUAGGGAAUCUUCCACAAUGGGCGAAAGCCUGAUGGAGCAACGCCGCGUGUGUGAUGAAGGGUUUCGGCUCGUAAAACACUGUUGUAAGAGAAGAAUGACAUUGAGAGUAACUGUUCAAUGUGUGACGGUAUCUUACCAGAAAGGAACGGCUAAAUACGUGCCAGCAGCCGCGGUAAUACGUAUGUUCCAAGCGUUAUCCGGAUUUAUUGGGCGUAAAGCGAGCGCAGACGGUUAUUUAAGUCUGAAGUGAAAGCCCUCAGCUCAACUGAGGAAUUGCUUUGGAAACUGGAUGACUUGAGUGCAGUAGAGGAAAGUGGAACUCCAUGUGUAGCGGUGAAAUGCGUAGAUAUAUGGAAGAACACCAGUGGCGAAAGCGGCUUUCUGGACUGUAACUGACGUUGAGGCUCGAAAGUGUGGGUAGCAAACAGGAUUAGAUACCCUGGUAGUCCACACCGUAACGAUGAGUGCUAGUGUUUGAGGGUUUCCGCCCUUAAGUGCCGCAG